UACGAGAGGCCCAAACGUUAUUCGGAAUUACUGGGCGUAAAGCGUGCGCAGGCGGGCUUUUAAGCCAGACGUGAAAUCCCCGGGCUUAACCUGGGAAUGGCGUUUGGGACUGGGAGUCUGGAGUGCGGCAGAGGAGACUGGAAUUCCUGGUGUAGCGGUGAAAUGCGCAGAUAUCAGGAGGAACACCGGUGGCGAAGGCGGGUCUCUGGGCCGUAACUGACGCUGAGGAGCGAAAGCGUGGGGAGCGAACAGG
rnacentral:rRNA from 1 species